rnacentral:rRNA from 1 species
AGAGUUUGAUCAUGGCUCAGAACGAACGCUGGCGGCGUGGUUCAGGCAUGCAAGUCGAACGAUCUCGCAAGAGAUAGUGGCAGAAGGGUUAGUAACACGUGGGUAAUCUACCCUCGACUCGGGGAUAACAUUUCGAAAGAAGUGCUAAUACCCGAUGAAAUAACUUGGUCGCAUGAUCGAGUUAUCAAAGGUGGCUCGCAAGGGCUGCCGAUUGAGGAGGAGCCCGCGGCCUAUCAGCUAGUUGGUGAGGUAACGGCCCACCAAGGCUUUUGACGGGUAGCUGGUCUUAGAGGACGAUCAGCAACAUUGGGACUGAGACACUGCCCAGACUCCUACGGGAGGCUGCAGUCGAGGAUCUUUAGCAAUGCCCGAAAGGGUGACUAUGCGACGCCGCGUGCAGGAUGAAGGCCUUCGGGUCGUAAACUGCUGUCAGGGGGGAAGAAACCUUACGUAUAAAUAAUGCGUAAGCUGACAUCACCCCCAAAGGAAGCCACGGCUAACUCUGUGCCAGCAGCCGCGGUAAGACAGAGGUGGCAAGCGUUGUUCGGAUUCAUUGGGUGUAAAGGGCAGGUAGGUGGUCGGAUAAGUCUGAUGUGAAAUCCCAUGGCUCAACCGUGGAACUGCAUUGGAAACUGUCUGACUUGAGUAUCGGAGAGGUGAAGGGAAUUCUCGGUGUAAGGGUGAAAUCUGUAGAUAUCGAGAGGAACACCAGUGGCGAAGGCGCUUCACUGGCCGAUUACUGACACUGAGCUGCGAAAGCAAGGGGAGCAAACAGGAUUAGAUACCCUAGUAGUCC